rnacentral:tRNA from 1 species
GCGACAGUGUCGGAACGGCAUACGAAUUCGGCUUAAACCCGAAGGCUGGAAACAGAUUGGGAGUUCAAAUCUCCUCUGUCGCA